AGGUAUUAAAAAAAAUAAGGCAAAACCGAACUGUAUCAAAAGCGGAGCAAAGAGACAAUUGACCCUUGUUGAUGACGAUGAUGAGAAAUUUAAGAUGUUAAUGGAGUAGAUAUUGGAACUAGAUGGUUUCAAAGAUGAUGAGAAUGAAGCAGCUAUUAUGAGCUCUCAAGCAAUAACAAGAUGAUGUUGAUCAAGAUGAUAAAUACGAAGACAUGUACCAUAUGCCAUUUGCAAAUUAUGAAAAUGAGAUACAAGGGGACGAUAGCAAGGAUGAUUUGGGAAACGAGGAUGAAGAACUAGUUCAAGAACAAUUGCUUGAAAUGAGAAAAGAAAUGGAAGAGGUUCAUCAAAGGAAAAAAAAAGCCGAGCAAGAAGCUAUACACAAAGAUUUUGACAGCUAGCAAGCAAACUUUGAAGCUACGACGUGAAGUAUUAUGAAAAAACUACCUAUUGGAGUGAUUCAUGAUCUUGAAGAUGAGUAGGAGGUUUUCUUUAUGUAUUAUCAUUGUGAUUGAAAACUUUGUUUUGAUUACAUUAUUAUUCGA